UACGUAGGGGGCAAGCGUUAUCCGGAUUUAUUGGGUUUAAAGGGUGCGUAGGCGGGCUUUUAAGUCAGCGGUAAAAAUUCGGGGCUCAACCCCGUCCGGCCGUUGAGACUGGGGGCCUUGAGUGGGCGAGAAGAAGGCGGAAUGCGUGGUGUAGCGGUGAAAUGCAUAGAUAUCACGCAGAACCCCGAUUGCGAAGGCAGCCUUCCGGCGCCCUACUGACGCUGAGGCACGAAAGUGCGGGGAUCGAACAGG
rnacentral:rRNA from 1 species